rnacentral:rRNA from 1 species
UACGAAGGGGGCUAGCGUUGCUCGGAAUCACUGGGCGUAAAGCGCACGUAGGCGGCUUUCUAAGUCAGGGGUGAAAUCCUGGAGCUCAACUCCAGAACUGCCUUUGAUACUGGGAAGCUCGAGUCCGGAAGAGGUGAGUGGAACUCCGAGUGUAGAGGUGAAAUUCGUAGAUAUUCGGAAGAACACCAGUGGCGAAGGCGGCUCACUGGCCCGGUACUGACGCUGAGGUGCGAAAGCGUGGGGAGCAAUCAGG